rnacentral:lncRNA from 1 species
UAAAUUAAAGUGAGGAAUGAGAUUGGAUGGUAUUGGAACACUGUAUGGAGUGGGCGUUGACUAAUAUCUGAGGAGAAUACAGUGAGUUUGAACAAAUUCAGGAGAAUCUGAAAGUUGGGGGAAUCAAGUGUGGGCGAAGGAAUAUAGUUAAAAAAGAUUUGAGAGAGGAAUAUUUAGAAUUUGUGAUGAUACAGUCAGCAGCAUGUGUAAGAGGGAGUUUAGUUUUGAAGACUUUAUUAGGGAAAAAAGAAGAAAAGGAAUGGGGGGACCUAAACAUGUGCAUGAGUGAGGUGAGAUGUAGAUUGUUUAAAGAAAUGCAGCAGCACUGUUAUGGGGAUGUGUUCAAAUGGGAAUAUGAUAUAUUCUCCAGAGGUUCUUCUAUAUGAUAUUUGGGAAGAUCGGUUAUUUAUAACAUCAUGUUUAUGUUAGGUUAUAAUUGGGUCAACUCUUGUUAUUGAGUUUGUAGUCCAUCAUAAUCAAGGAUAUUUUAUUAAAGAUAUUAAGAAUAAAAUAAUAUCUGAUUAAAGAUAUUGAUAAAGUUGUUUAUGAGUAACCAAGUAAGUUUGUUUA